rnacentral:misc_RNA from 1 species
CAGAUAACUUGUUUAUAUUAGCAAUGCAGGGUUAAUCUAUUAGUAAAUUCAUUCCCAAAGGGCUAAGGAGAAUUGACAGUGUCCUGAAGUACGAAAAGACAAGAUUAACCUGUCUACAUCCCACAAGGUCGGGUAAACAUGGUACAUCUGCAACAGAAAGCCAACCGAGAAAGGAAGAAAAAAAGAGAAAAGAUCUAGGAAAGUUGCACGGCAGAAGAUCCCUAGUAAGAAAGAUGCAAAAUCUUAAAUUAAUCCACAACUCCAUCAAGAAAUGCCAACGGGGAAAAUAUCCUGUGGGCUGCAUUUAGAAAAUACCCUCUCUAUUCCUGUUCCAUAGGUGCAGGUUCUUCAUCCUUCUGCUCCUCUAGACUCCCUGGUUCAGCAUCAGUCUCAUUGUAACUAUCAAUGGCCAUUUUGUCAUCCUUUUCUUUGGCAAGUUUGGACCCAGUAUCAUUAUCCAAAAUCUUCAGAUCUGUAGGAACCUGACCUGAACUCAAUGCCUUUUCAAGUCUGGCAACCUCUUCAAGAGUUUGGGAAUUCACAAUAGCAGCCUUUAUAGCUAUAAUUUGCUCAGGUGUAGGCGCAACCACCUUCGGAUUCUGCUGCUCCUCUGCAACAUCUAUAACAUUUGGAACCUCACCUGGUGUGAAUGUCUUUGCAGAUUCCUUUUUAGCCUCCUCUUCAACUUCUUUGGACGCAAACAAAUUUCCUGCUUCCACUCUCUCCUUGCUUUUCACUUUCUUGAAGUCAAGAACACGAAGUGAUUUCAAUUUGUGAAUCACGUACAGUCUAUAGUUUGGUUUUUUUGUGAUAUUAUUAUCCAAAAGACUGAGGAACUGCAGCUUUGGAAGAGAAGCAAGAGGAUCAAUCUCCACCAAAUUGACAAGCCUGUUGUUUGUAAGAACCAAUGUGUGUAAUUUUGGCAAGAACUCUCCAAUGUUGGGAUUGAUACGAGUUAUUCUGUUGUUAUUGAUGAGCAAAGUGCCCAACCGAGUAAGAUAUGGCAUGUUUUCCAGCUUCACAAUCUCGUUGUCAGACAAAUCGAUAGUAUCAAAUUGGUCCUCAGUAGCACCCAAGUUUUCUAUUACAGGGAUCUUAUUACCUCGAAGAUCCAAUUCCCGCUCCUUAAUAGCAUUGAAAAAAUGAGGACUUUUCCAAAUCAAGUCAGCAGUGAGUCUCACCAUCUCUUCUUCUCUUCUCUACGAACUUACCUAACCACACUUAUCCAACAGACAACAACGACGAGCGGCUUCUCUUAUCUCUGAACUUCUGCUGCUGCACCUUUAGCAAAGGGCUUAGGGGUUUACGCGUUGAGACAGAGUGGAAGUGGUGGACUCCAAAUUUGGCUCAGUUUUUGCC